UUUUGCUUUUAGAGAACUGAAGCCAAGAUGGAUUGUAUUAGAACAGUCCCAGGAGGCAGAGUCUAAGACAGAAUCCCGGAGGAAGAUGGCAGUGAGUCCUCUGUGCCGCUGGUGCCACAUUUCUCAGCCUCAGCCGCUCCAGCUGCCUCUGACUUCAAAAGAAACUCUGAAUGAAGAGGGAGGGCACACAAUAGAAGAAAUGGUCUGAUUAUCCCCCUCUGUUUGGAAAUGACACUUGCAACAAAGAGAAUCUCGCCUAUCACCUUUACACUUUUGAUGCUACGAACCAGCUAUUAUGUCUAGGGGACACUCAAGUAGCUCCCAGGAAAGUCCAUAUGACAAGGAACCGAGCUAUCUGCCAACAGCUGAUGAGGAACGGAGGCAAUCCAUGAACAUCCAGUGAGUGAGCCAUCUUAGAAGCACACCCUCAAGUUGCAGUAAAACCUUUUGAUGAUGGCAGCUCCUGCUGACAUCUCCACCACAACCUCCUAAGAGACCUGGAGCUGGAACCACUCAGGUAAAUAUGAUAGCUGGAGCUGGAGCAGCCAUAUUGGUCAAGAGACAGAGCCACAGUUGAGGAUGACAGAGCAAUUAGAGACAGCCUGUGUCCCUGACACUAUACAGCUGCCAUACAUCAACAGUCCUGCCCAUCUAAAUUGUCAGGUGAGAGAGAACAAAGUUUUAUAUUAUUUGAGCCUCUGUGUUUUGGUCUUUUUCUUUUUCUUUUUUCAUUAUAGCAGCCUGAGUAGAUUUUAUCUAAUAUAGAUGUGAAGAACAAAAUAUAAGCAAAAUGGAGCACAAAUCACACAACUUCUUGUUAAAUAA